rnacentral:rRNA from 1 species
UACGAAGGGGGCUAGCGUUGUUCGGAUUUACUGGGCGUAAAGCGCACGCAGGCGGCUUAUCAAGUCAGGGGUGAAAUCCCGGGGCUCAACCUCGGAACUGCCUUUGAAACUGAUAAGCUAGAGAUUGAGAGAGGAUAGUGGAAUUCCUAGUGUAGCAGUGAAAUGCGUAGAUAUUAGGAGGAACACCGGUGGCGAAGGCGGCUAUCUGGCUCAAUACUGACGCUCAUGUGCGAAAGCGUGGGGAGCAAACAGG